GCUCAGAUUGAACGCUGGCGGCAGGCCUAACACAUGCAAGUCGAGCGGUAGCACAAGAGAGCUUGCUCUCUGGGUGACGAGCGGCGGACGGGUGAGUAAUGUCUGGGAAACUGCCUGAUGGCGGGGGAUAACUAGUGGAAACGGUAGCUAAUACCGCAUAACGUCGCAAGACCAAAGUGGGGGCCCUUCGGGCCUCACGCCAUCAGAUGUGCCCAGGUGGGAUUAGCUGGUAGGUGGGGUAACGGCUCACCUAGGCGACGAUCCCUAGCUGGUCUGAGAGGAUGACCAGCCACACUGGAACUGAGACACGGUCCAGACUCCUACGGGAGGCAGCAGUGGGGAAUAUUGCACAAUGGGCGCAAGCCUGAUGCAGCCAUGCCGCGUGUGUGAAGAAGGCCUUCGGGUUGUAAAGCACUUUCAGCGAGGAGGAAGGGUAAUGUG
rnacentral:rRNA from 1 species